CUGUCCCUGCGCUGUGCGUGAUGUCGGGGGAAAGUUUCAACCUCAUACGUCUCCCGGGAGCCGCAACUGAGGGUGGUGUGCAGGCCCCUCCGAGAAGGGGAAGCCUAAAGCCCUCCACGAUGGCGCCCACCUGGUAUAGACCAGGUUCGAAACACCGUCGGCACACGGCAGAGGUGGGGAUUCU
rfam:Candidatus Rokubacteria bacterium 13_1_40CM_4_69_5 13_1_40cm_4_scaffold_2101, whole genome shotgun sequence.